CAAUUAGUUUUUUUUUUUAUAUAAUUAAAAAUCUGAUAAACAUUGUAAGAAUCAUAUACAAACCUCCGCUUUGUCGACAUAAACGUAGGGCCUUUCUCCAUUUUAUUUUGUUGUUUCUUUUGGUUGCAGAGAGAGAGACGACCAAACCUUAAAACUUUGCGUUAGUCAGAUGUCAAAGUAUCGAAUCCGAUUGUUUGGUCAAAAAAUCUUUACAUCUACAUAAACUAGUAUUGUAAGGCUUGUAGUUAUGUAUAACAUUUAAUUAUAACUACUGGGAUUGACAAUUAAUAACAUAAUCAUCAUUUUUUUUUUUUUUUUAAUAUUUGUUAUUAUGGGAGAUUUGUAUUUGUGUAUUACAUUACGUAUAAAAUUAUGGGAGUACUUCCGAACCUCUUUUGUCCAAAAGGUCCUACCUGAAA
rnacentral:lncRNA from 1 species